AAGAGAGCUUGCUCUCUGGGUGACGAGCGGCGGACGGGUGAGUAAUGUCUGGGAAACUGCCUGAUGGCGGGGGAUAACUAGUGGAAACGGUAGCUAAUACCGCAUAACGUCGCAAGACCAAAGUGGGGGACCUUCGGGCCUCACGCCAUCAGAUGUGCCCAGGUGGGAUUAGCUGGUAGGUGGGGUAACGGCUCACCUAGGCGACGAUCCCUAGCUGGUCUGAGAGGAUGACCAGCCACACUGGAACUGAGACACGGUCCAGACUCCUACGGGAGGCAGCAGUGGGGAAUAUUGCACAAUGGGCGCAAGCCUGAUGCAGCCAUGCCGCGUGUGUGAAGAAGGCCUUCGGGUUGUAAAGCACUUUCAGCGAGGAGGAAGGGUAAUGUGUUA
rnacentral:rRNA from 1 species